GGGAACGCAGGCGCCCCUCCCGCGCUCGCCUAGCCCUGGCUGCCCCCGCACGCCCACGCCCCAGGUGUCCGGGCGCGCAUUACCGCGGGGCGCCGUGCCCAGGCCAGGAGGCCAGGGCGGAGCGGGUGGGGGAGAAGCCCAUUUAGAUUCAGAGGGAAGCCGGUCCUGGGAGACGGCCGCGAGGAACAAAGGCGCCCCAGUGCUGCCCACUUAGCAUGCCAGAGCCGCGCUGCUCGGCUCCCAGGCCGGGGACACGGCCCGGUGCUAAGCGGAGGGUGCCCGACUCCGGGAAUUCCUAAGGCCACGGGCACCUCCAAGGCCACCGCCGCACACAGCUUCGGAGUGCACAGUGCACACGCCCAGGCACAGGCAGCCGGGUCCGAGAAACUGUGACUGUCUUGGCUUUGAGUAAAGCGCUGGGCUCUACCCUCCUUCCAUGAUGAGUGCCGUUGAUUAUUACUUGAGGGCGCUGCAAGGGCCUUAUUUACACCACCAAGUUGAGAAUUUAAAAAGAUUUUUUUUUUAAAUAGGUUUAUCCGCGUAUCCUGGUGAAGUUUGGAUGCAGAGAACUUGGAGCGGUUGUUUUCUACCAGACACUAGGAUCCCUGUGAGAGGUAAUGGCCUCUAGGAAGGACACGUCACCAUCGUGGUCCCCUGUGAAGGUUAAAUGGAAGAAUAAAGACAUCCCAGAUCCAAAGGGAGAUAUCGAUCCAUGGAAGAUGGUUGCUGUCGGAAAAUGCUGAGAAGUUUGCACAAGGAAUGGAAGCAGAGUUAACCAAUGUAUCAGGAAGCUUACACUUUCUCCUUUUAAACGGCUGUGCUGGUCUAUUAAGACAUGCCUAAUACCCAAACCUGAGGGGCAAAAGGGGAGAGAAUGAAGUUUAUGUGUCUGUGUCGUAGAGAAAAGCUGCCAAAAUGUGAUUAAGCUUUUUGAGUUAGAACUUAAUAAAAUGCCUUUGCUACUGGUU